rnacentral:tRNA from 2 species
GGGCAGGUGGCCGAGUGGACAAUGGCAGCAGACUGUAAAUCUGCCGGCGUAAAGCCUUCGGAGGUUCGAAUCCUCCCCUGCCCA